rnacentral:rRNA from 1 species
ACAAAAACAUCACCUCUAGCAUCACAAGUAUUAGAGGCAUUGCCUGCCCAGUGACUUUUAAGUUUAACGGCCGCGGUAUCCUGACCGUGCAAAGGUAGCAUAAUCACUUGUCCCCCAAUUAGGGACUAGCAUGAAUGGCCAAACGAGGAUUCAACUGUCUCUUACUCUAAAUCAGUGAAAUUGACCUUCCAGUGAAGAGGCUGGAAUAACAUAAUAAGACGAGAAGACCCUGUGGAGCUUUAAUUAACUAGCCUAAUUAUAACCAUCAAGCCCUAAUGGAACAAAAUAUAAAUAUUACGCUAGCAAUUUUGGUUGGGGUGACCUCGGAGAACAAAAAAUCCUCCGAAUGAUUAUAGCACAGACAAACAAGUCAAAGCAACUCACUAAAUCUAAUUGACCCAAAAUACUUUGACCAACGGACUAAGUUACCCUAGGGAUAACAGCGCAAUCCUAUUUAAGAGUUCAUAUCGACAAUUGGGUUUACGACCUCGAUGUUGGAUCAGGACAUCCCAAUGGUGCAGAAGCUAUUAAAGGUUCGUUUGUUCAACGAUUAAAGUCCUA